rnacentral:rRNA from 1 species
GACGAACUGUGCAAACGUUAUUCGGAAUCACUGGGCUUGAAGAGUGCGUAGGCGGUUUGUCGCGUCGGAUGUGAAAACCCAGGGCUCAACCCUGGGCCUGCAUUCGAUACGGGCAGACUAGAGUAUGGCAGGGGAGACUGGAAUUCCUGGUGUAGCGGUGAAAUGCGCAGAUAUCAGGAGGAACACCCAUGGCGAAGGCAGCAUUCUGGGCUUGACCUGACGCUGAGGCACGAAAGCCAGGGGAGCGAACGGG